UUUGUUCUUCUCGGGAGUCAGAGCUCACUUCCCCAGCACCAGGUGAAGAAACUGAGGCACAGGGCGGUGAAGUGGCUUGCCCAAGUUUGCACAACUAGGAGUUGGGGACAUCGGAUUGGAGGAAUUGAUUCACACAAUUAUGAAGGCUGAAAAGACUUAUGAUCUGCCAUUUGCAAGCUGGAGAACUGGCAAAGAUGGGAGUGUAAAUUCAGUCUGUGUCUGAAGGCCUGAGAGCCAGGAGCCCUGACGUCCAAAUGCAGGACGGGAUGGAUGUCCCAGCUCAAGCAGAGAACAAAUUUGCCUUUCAAGAAGUUCCCAGAACCAUUAGCCUAAGACACCUGAAAUUGUCCUUGAUUAAAAAGAGGAUCUAAUUCUGAUGGAUCCAGAAUAAUGAUAUCUAUAUUAUUAAUGAAACUAUGAUGACUGAAAAUGUUUGUUUUUCCAGUUCUUUUGUCUUUCAUUCUAGGAAUGUUUAGUCAAACUACCAUGUUUAAAAACUCUUGAAAUAAUUUGUU